rnacentral:rRNA from 1 species
UGGGGAAUAUUGCACAAUGGGCGCAAGCCUGAUGCAGCCAUGCCGCGUGUGUGAAGAAGGCCUUCGGGUUGUAAAGCACUUUCAGCGAGGGGAAGGUGGUGAGCUUAAUACGCUCAUCAAUUGACGUUACUCGCAGAAGAAGCACCGGCUAACUCCGUGCCAGCAGCCGCGGUAAUACGGAGGGUGCAAGCGUUAAUCGGAAUUACUGGGCGUAAAGCGCACGCAGGCGGUUUGUUAAGUCAGAUGUGAAAUCCCCGGGCUCAACCUGGGAACUGCAUUUGAAACUGGCAAGCUAGAGUCUCGUAGAGGGGGGUAGAAUUCCAGGUGUAGCGGUGAAAUGCGUAGAGAUCUGGAGGAAUACCGGUGGCGAAGGCGGCCCCCUGGACGAAGACUGACGCUCAGGUGCGAAAGCGUGGGGCAGCAAACAGGAUUAGAUACCCUGGUAGUCCAGCGCUGUAAACGAUGUCGAUUUGGAGGUUGUGCCCUUGAGGCGUGGCUUCCGGAGCUAACGCGUUAAAUCGACCGCCUGGGGAGUACGGCCGCAAGGUUAAAACUCAAAGGAAUUGAC